AGUGGACCAGUAAGGGCAGAUGUGUUUGAGUGCCGGGGCAAUGAGAGCCAUUUCUCACACUGCGCUGUUUCCUCAUGGGGGAGAGCAGUGUGCUCUCAUGGACAGGACGCAGGAGUCAUCUGCUCUGAAUCAAAUAUGACCAGAGAUUCACCUGGAGCAGGUUUCCCUUCUUCAGCUGUUCCUCUUUCA